GGCGCCUGCGGCCGGGACGCGAGGCGGCCACAGCGCCCGCAGCCCGGGCGCCCCAUGUUGUUGGAUUUCCCAGGAUGCACCUCCCGCGCCCUCCGCCCGCUCGUCGCCCCGCCCCCCUCGGCGCCCCGCGCUGCUGGCUGCGGAUUCGGGAGCCGGGCCGGACGAGGGCUGCUCCGUGGACGCCCUAGCGGUGAAGAGAAGGCCUACGCGCCGGAGCACCCGCAUGGGUGCGGACAGGAGAGGGCUUGCCAGCACUGUGCCUGGAGUUCGUUACUCUGCGCUCCCGGGUUCUUUGAAGGAACUCAAACACUCGAUUCCCGCUUGUGAUUUCUUUCUCUGCGCCCCAAACCACAGACAAGGGACUGUUGCUUUGCAGUACUCGCUUCCUGCCCAAAGUUUGCUGGGCUUAGAGGAUCUGGUUCCUGCUUCCUGGGGGAGAUUUCUAUUCAAAUUGAUUCAAAUUCAAACGAAUUUUGCAGCCCUAGCUGAAUGGGCCUUUCCCAGGGGCACUUAUUAACUGUCCCCACCCCCCACCUUGGGGAUUUUCUUACUCUGGAGUUCAGAAUCUUCUAUCCCAAGAUAAAUACCGCCUCAUCAUUGAUUAGUCCAACUACCAUCUGGAUGACUUUAAUUACAAUACAUUCGAACUCACUAUGCACUUUGUUGGGGCUCUCUGCUCAAGAUGUUUAAUCUCUGCAAGACUCUACCCAAACAUUGCCUUAUCGGACUUCUAAGCUGUGUGGUGUGAGUAAUUUGAUGACUUUGAGGUCGUGCCUACCCGAACUGUUUCUCCUUAUGAGUAAUGAAAUUCAGGGAUCAUAUGAAUCGUUUGGCUUGUGAUCCAUAAGUUGAAAGUUAAAACUAACCGUGAAGCUUAGAUUUAAUGACUAUCUCUCCUUUUAAAAAAAAUCAAUAUUGGCUUAACACCUAUCACGUGCUUAGCAAAGAGAUCUCUCAAGAUAAAGACUAGCACAAAGGUUUAAGCCAAUCAGACAGGCGUAACGGAAGACCUAAUAGAGCUGAUACUCUCUAUCUCUGGUGACUAUCUAAACUUCUGUAAUACCUGCCAUUAGAUCUGCCAUCCCCUCCGAGACUGAUUUUGUUCUGAGACUAUGUUUUCCUCCUGGCGCCUUCAUUCUUUUGUUUCUAUGCUGUUUUUAGUGAAAAACCUUCUGCACCUGUGACUCUUGCAGCCUGGUCCCCCGGUGGGGAAGAAAAGAAAGUAGUGGUAAUUUACAAAUGAAUUCGAAGGUGUGGACGCAGUAGACCUUUCCAGUUUUAUGUUAAUCUCAUUAAGCAUUUACCUAGGAUAUCUUUGGAAAGUGGUUUUCCUUGAGGAAGGAAUUUGCCAAAUCUCAGAUCCAGCUGAGAAGUACGGCAAAUAUCCUCCUCCCUCUACAACAUUUACUUCCAGCAGACUGGUGAUCUGGAGUCUAAAUGAAGCAAGUCUUCACAACUAGCUAAUAUAUUUAUAAGUACUUUUGUGAGCACUAAAUUUUUGUCUCUGUGGAACGUGUGGGAAACGGAGUGGUAUGCUGUAAAUGUUUUAUAGAAUUUAGUUGGAGAUACAACCAGUAUUGAAGGGUGAGUUUACAGAUUAAAUCCAAACAAGUGGCAGUAAAACCUUUAUAGUCUUUACAACAGUAUGCAGUUUGUUUAUACCACAGAAAUCAGAGAAAAGACAUUAAGGAAAAAUUGUAGUAAUUUGAAAUAAUAUUCUUAUUUCCAUAUAUCUUCCUGAAUAAAGUUUUGUUUAACCC
rnacentral:lncRNA from 1 species